rnacentral:rRNA from 1 species
ACGCACGCUGGCGGCGUGCUUAACACAUGCAAGUCGAACGGAAAGGCCCUGCUUGCCGGGUACUCGAGUGGCGAACGGGUGAGUAACACGUGGGUGAUCUGCCCUGCACUUCGGGAUAAGCCUGGGAAACUGGGUCUAAUACCGGAUAUGACCUUCCAUGUAGUGUGGGGGGUGGAAAGAUUUAUCGGUGUGGGAUGAGCCCGCGGCCUAUCAGCUUGUUGGUGGGGUAAUGGCCUACCAAGGCGUCGACGGGUAGCCGGCCUGAGAGGGUGGACGGCCACAUUGGGACUGAGAUACAGCCCAGACUCCUACGGGAGGCAGCAGUGGGGAAUAUUGCACAAUGGGCGGAAGCCUGAUGCAGCGACGCCGCGUGGGGGAUGACGGCCUUCGGGUUGUAAACCUCUUUCGGCAGGGACGAAGCUUCGGUGACGGUACCUGUAUAAGAAGCACCGGCUAACUACGUG